rnacentral:rRNA from 1 species
UACGGAGGGAGCUAGCGUUGUUCGGAAUUACUGGGCGUAAAGCGCACGUAGGCGGCUUUGCAAGUUAGAGGUGAAAGCCCGGGGCUCAACUCCGGAAUUGCCUUUAAAACUGCAUCGCUAGAGUUGUGGAGAGGUAAGUGGAAUUCCGAGUGUAGAGGUGAAAUUCGUAGAUAUUCGGAAGAACACCAGUGGCGAAGGCGGCUCACUGGUCCGGUACUGACGCUGAGGUGCGAAAGCGUGGGGAGCAAACAGG